GGAGGAAUACCCAAGUCCGGCUGAAGGGAUCGGUCUUGAAAACCGACAGGGGCUUAACGGCUCGCGGGGGUCGAAUCCCUCUUCCUCCGCCA
rnacentral:tRNA from 1 species